rnacentral:pre_miRNA from 1 species
CUCAAUUACCGUGACAUAGUCGUACGGUGAAUGUUGUUUAUGGAGUCCAAUGUUAACUGUAAGACUGUGUCUCGGUGGUUGCA